AAGAAAGAAACCAAACAAAUCUAUAUUAUAAUGAUACAGUUUCGAGACUCUUUAAGCUAUCGCAAGCAUGUGGGACCCACUUCUAUUAUUUUUUUUAAAUGUCAAAUUAUCAGAUUGUCGCGUUAUGGGUUUGAUCCGGCCCGCUACCGUCCUCCUAUGCAUCACCUUUGGCUGAUUAGGGUUGCCGUCUCCUUCAAGAUCCUUCGUUUGAGGGCGCUUCCUCUUCCACUAGAGUUCAGUUUUCUUACGAACUCCAAUAAUUUAUUGUCUCGAAAAAAUAGAAGUCGAUCGAGUAUCUUCCCUGCAGAGUAGUGUCAACAAUUGAUGGAAGAGCAAGGUUCUUCCAGAGGUAAUCAUGAGAUAUGGUUCCUCUUUGUCGAUUUAAUGAGUUCAUGCUUCUGUUACGUAAAAUAUCCGUGCUGAUAUACACAUGAGUGCUUGAAUUUAGUUACUUGAUCUCUGGAUUUUUAUGGAUUCACUCUAGAUUUGUCAAUUGAGAUUUAUUUUUCUGAAUGAUGUUUGUUAAUCAAAAGACUGAGUUGAUUUUCACUAUUGUUUGUUUUUUUUGAAAUGUCUUUGAUGUUGAGAAGUUUGGUUAAUUCUUCAUCUCCUUAAAUCUUCCAUGGUAAAUAUUUAAGCGAUUAUCUAAACAAUUAUUUGGCUAUCUCUUUUAUCUUUUUGAAUAAAUGUUAAAUUAAUUCAAGACGAAACCUGAUUUACAAGAUAUGUGACUCUGUUUUGAGUACUAUCAAAGUCUCGUCGUGAAAAUAAAGAAAAAAUGAAGCGUGUAUAGGAAAAAAAAUUUGAGAAAUUUUAAUGCUGAAACUCCAUGGCUGUCGCAAGCUGGAAGAAAACCACAUCUCCAUGGCUUUCUCAAGCCUUUUAUUUCCCAUUCCUCGAACAGAAGAGACUCUUUUUUGAAUCUGUUAAUUUGACUCUUUUUAUAUUUAAUUGUUUCUGAUUAUCAUCUUUUUAUUGUCUCACGUAGAAGAUGAUAAUCAGAGCUUAGCUCUUUCCUACAUCGGCUCUUCAACAAAGGUCAAGAACUGUUCAUGUGAUAGAAGAGGGACCAUGCGAGCAAAGGAAUCAGUUGUUUUCUGUUUUAGGGUCUCUCACUGAUCCAGAAGAAGAAGAAUCAAAGGAAUCCUCAGAGGACAGGUUGCUUCUGUAUAUAUUUAACUACCAAGAAGAAGAAGUUUGCAAGUGGAGUUCAGUUGCAACUCAUGCGGAGAGAGAAGAACUAAACGGCUUAUCAACCGUUUGGCUUAUGAACGUGGCCUUGUCUUUGUCCAGUGUGGUGGAUGUCUUAAGCAUCAUAAGCUGGUUGAAAAUCUUGGUCAUUGUUGAGUAUGACUUCCGCAAAGAAACCUCCAAGGAUUCAAGUACUGAUCAAAUUUGAUAUGAUUUUAUUUUCUGCAAAGAAUA